rnacentral:rRNA from 1 species
AAACGACUCUCGGCAACGGAUAUCCCGGCUCUCGCAUCGAUGAAGAACGUAGCGAAAUGCGAUACUUGGUGUGAAUUGCAGAAUCCCGUGAACCAUCGAGUCUUUGAACGCAAGUUGCGCCCAAAGCCAUUAGGCCGAGGGCACGUUUGCCUGGGUGUCACGC